AAGUGCGAUAUCUAGUGCGAUUUGCAUGAAUCUGUGAGUCAUCGAGUUUUUGAACGCAACUUGCGCCACUAUGUGGCAUGUCUGUUUGAGUAUCAUAAACCCAUCUUAACCCUCUGAUAAUAAGGAGGCAAGGAUAUGCUAGUCCUAGCCCACAACCAACGUUAACGGUUAGGUCUGGUUAAAUGAAGCUUGGCCUUCAAAGGGGCAUUGACUACGCUAGAGACUCUAUGUCUUGCUGCAAGUUAAUACCCCCUCUUAAUGAAACGGUCUCAAAUCAGUCAAGAUUACCCGCUGAACUUAA
rnacentral:misc_RNA from 1 species